rnacentral:misc_RNA from 1 species
GUGAAUCAUCGAAUCUUUGAACGCAACUUGCGCUCUCUGGUAUUCCGGAGAGCAUGCCUGUUUGAGUGUCAUGAAAUCUCAACCAUUAGGGUUUCUUAAUGGCUUGGAUUUGGAGGUUGCCAUUCUGAAUGGCUCCUCUCAAAAGAGUUAGUGAGUUUAACUAUUGCUAUCUGGCGUAAUAAGUUUCGCUGGAAUGGUAUUGUGAAGCGCGCUUCUAAUCGUCUUCGGACAAUUACUUUGACUCUGGCCUCAAAUCAGGUAGGACUACCCGCUGAACUUAAGCAUAUCAAUAAGCGGAGGA